AGGUAGUUCAGCGUUCUCCCCCCUCACCUUGCAGGAAAGUUGAGAGAGAGCGAAAGAGAGCGAGAGAGCCUUGCUUUAGUGGCACCUAGUGAAUUUGUGGCAGAGGUGAGGACCAGCUCAGGACCAAACAAGAUUCCUGCCUUUCUCUAUGGUGGCCUAUGACCGGAAUUUCCCCAGACAUGUCCAGGAUUCAAACGGUAAAAUUAGCGUCUGAGGGGAAAUUUAAAAAUCAGCAAAAUGUCCGAGUUUUCGGCAACAGAACUUUUGUGUCCAGAUUUUUCUUCUUGAAAUAUGGCAGCCCUACUUUAUCCCUUGUGCAUGUGAUUUUAAAAUAAAAUAAAAUGGUGUGAAUACAGAGAACUAAACUGGGACCAUGGGAAAGGGAGAAGGAGCACCCCCCAAAAAAACCCCACAGUACAGAUGUGAACUGGGACCACCUGAGCUGGCUACUUCUAUAGGGAAGAAAACUUCCACUGGCGCCGAAGGGAAAUUCCCUCUCAUUGCAAAUAGGCAGAAUGGCGGGUGGAAGAGGACUGAUCUGGCUUGUUCUCUCUCCCCACACCACCAGCUAUUUAAGUUUUUUUGGAAAAAUCAAGUAUGCAAGGGGUAAAGUAGGGCCACCAUACGUCUGGAAUUCCCCAGACAUAGCCGGAUUCGGCUCUCGUAAACAGCACCUGGGCAGAAAUCGCUGAAAUGUCCAGGAAAAUCCAGACGUAAUGGCAACCCAUGUUGGAAGUGUAGAUUCUCCACAAAAGGCAUUCAAAGCAAUAUACAAUGGUGCCUGAAAGCAGAAAAACACUGUGGCGUAGGAUGUUUUUGAUUCAGUGCUAUUCUGAUGUCUCUUCAAAUGUAACUGCUUUAGUUGUAUCCUUUACAAAUAAGGAAAACAUAAUGGAAAAGAUACAGAUUGAUGUCUUGUUUUUAAUAUAAUGCCACACAAAGAAAAUAAAAAGUCAAAGUGCUGAAGUUCCACUGUUAUCAAAAGAGGCUUUGGAACCAAAAUGAGCACCGUUAUAUAAAAUGCAUCGCAGAACUGAAUGUGUUUUCUUUUCACAGUUAGACUGAAAACCAUAUUUUCAUUGCUAACCAUCAUGAAUUCUAACAAGAUUUAUUAGCUUUACAAGCUUAGCAGUUUCCCACAUCUUCAUAAUCCCAUCAGCACUCUUUGGAAAAAGUCUGAUGAUUUCUAGAGCCGAGCUUUUCCUUGCCUAGUGGCUCUAAAUGCAUUGGAUGGCAGCCCUAUGGAAAAGGAGAUUAUGUAUCUUUUAAAAAGAAAAAUGCAACUCGUGUUUUUAUUUUAUUUAUUUGAAAUGCUUCUGGGCUGCCUUUACGAGUCAAAACAAGAUGGCUUACAAAUAAAGCAUACUACUUCCACAAAACAUUAAUAAAAGCCAGCCAUAAAAACAACAAAUACAUCCAGCACAAACAAGCACAACCAAAACCAUCAGCAGAAGAAUUAACUCUGCCAUGACCUCGCCAUGUAGCCCUCAUCCAGCAACCAUCUCUCAGCCUCAACCUGCCACCUGCAAUAAUAUUGGCCUACCUGACUUUCCCAGGUGUCAUAGGAAGUAGUGGGGAAGGCACUGGUGUCCACAGGUAUCACAUUGGUGACCCUUGACCUACUGUCGCAUCUGGAGCUCAGCCUGAGGAUGGGCCCUGUCCUGUUGUGCAUUGCAGCUUCUUGGCCUGCAUCAAAGCAGAAAGGGAGAGCUGGUUUAGCACAGUUGCUCAGAAGAGCAUGAGCUCACAGCUGCAGCUUGCAUCUUACAGCAGCCAUGAGUUCCCUUGGCAGUCUUUAGUCAACUGCCAUUCUCUGAGCCUUAGCCACUGUCAGUGCCGGAUUUAUGUAUAAGGAUUUAUGUAUAUACACAUAUGUAUAUAUGUAUAAUGUAUUUUUAUUUAUCCUAUUUACUGAUAGGAAGUGCCUACAGAGGGUGGUGAAUACAGCACAAGAUAUUAUGGGCUGUCCCGUGAAUCCGCUGGAUGAAAUAGCGAAAGAACGGUGCCUCAAGAGAGUGAGGAAAAUUCUCAAGGAUGAUUCACACCCUGGUCGGCGCUUUCUUGAUCUCCUGCCCUCGGGCAGAAGAUAUAGAAGCAUGAUUAGUCGCACCAACAAGGUAAAGAACAGCUUCUAUCCGUGGGCUGUUAGGCGGCUGAAUGAAAAGAUAACAACAGGGCAACUGACUUUCGGGUUUCGUGGGUGCGCGUCAGUAAACGAGGGGAAUGAAGACUAAGAGAGCUGAGUGGGGGGUGCUGGUGUAAUCUCACUGUAUACAAGUUGUACAAGUGACAAUAAAGUGUUUCUAUUUCAAUUUCAAGCUAAACAAGCUAUAGCUUAGGGCCCCACUCUCUUGGGGGGCCCCAAAAAAUUAAAGGAAAAAAACACCUGGAUGUACAUUUCCAAUAUAUAAGAUAA